rnacentral:lncRNA from 1 species
ACAAGGGACAUGGAUUUGGGGCUCUGCAAAGAGGGGAGCUGAAUGUGAGACUGUUGAAUAAAGUGAGGUCUCUCAAAGGGAACAGAAGCAGAAAGGUUUCCCACUAGCACAGAUGAGUCUGGGCUCUCAAGUCAGCCAGAAAAGCUCCUAUGAAACCCAAGAGAGCUCCUACACAGAGAAGGAGAAGCAAGCACUUAAGGUAGGCUGAAAUUGAAUUCAUUACCAGGAAAGUCUGUUGGGGUCUCCACCUACCACACUGAGUUUAUGGACAAUGAAGCCAGAUCUGUGGAAAUGACCAACAGAAAGAAGCAGCCCUAACUCCUAGCAUGGAGAUGCUCCC